rnacentral:rRNA from 1 species
GACGGAGGAUGCAAGCGUUAUCCGGAAUGAUUGGGCGUAAAGCGUCCGCAGGUGGCAGUUCAAGUCUGCUGUCAAAGACCGGGGCUUAACUUCGGAAAGGCAGUGGAAACUGAACAGCUAGAGUAUGGUAGGGGCAGAGGGAAUUCCUGGUGUAGCGGUGAAAUGCGUAGAGAUCAGGAAGAACAUCGGUGGCGAAGGCGCUCUGCUGGACCAUAACUGACACUCAGGGAUGAAAGCUGGGGGAGCAAACCGG